CGCACGGGUGCGUAACGCGUGGGAAUCUGCCCUGGGGUACGGAAUAACUCAGAGAAAUUUGAGCUAAUACCGUAUGAUGACGUAAGUCCAAAGAUUUAUCGCCCUGGGAUGAGCCCGCGUAGGAUUAGCUAGUUGGUGGGGUAAAGGCUCACCAAGGCGACGAUCCUUAGCUGGUCUGAGAGGAUGAUCAGCCACACUGGGACUGAGACACGGCCCAGACUCCUACGGGAGGCAGCAGUGGGGAAUAUUGGACAAUGGGCGAAAGCCUGAUCCAGCAAUGCCGCGUGAGUGAUGAAGGCCUUAGGGUUGUAAAGCUCUUUUACCCGGGAAGAUAAUGACUGUACCGGGAGAAUAAGCCCCGGCUAACUCCGUGCCAGCAGCCGCGGUAAUACGGAGGGGGCUAGCGUUGUUCGGAAUUACUGGGCGUAAAGCGCACGUAGGCGGCUUGGUAAGUUAGAGGUGAAAGCCCGGGGCUCAACCCCGGAAUUGCCUUUAAGACUGCCGAGCUAGUAGGUGAGAGAGGUGAGUGGAAUUCCGAGUGUAGAGGUGAAAUUCGUAGAUAUUCGGAAGAACACCAGUGGCGAAGGCGGCUCACUGGCUCAUUCUAGACGC
rnacentral:rRNA from 1 species